CUUUGAAAAGAAACACAAAUUUUCACAUGUUGGCGCCACAGCACCUCGGCCUCCCUACCUCUCCAACAUGCGUCUGUCACGCACAUAUCACGCACCGGAUGGGAAAAUGUGGAAAUAUGGACCAAUCAGAGUUUGCCACGUCAUCUAUCUACCUGUGAGUCAGGCCAGAUAUCACCGUUUUCCCGCCACUGGAAAAUCAUUCUGCUAGCAGAGACGAUCGUUAUCGGACAGAAGCAACUUUUGGGAGACCUAUCUACCAGAUACAGCGAGACAUAGCAAUGGGGCCUUGCAAAAGCACUAUGAAAUUUGGAACUCAGCAAAACGCACAGGACAUGCCUGUGAACAAGGGGCUGUUCAGUGCAGCAGUUGCCGCAGCUGUGGGCAAGGUGACUGUGAAAGCUGCCCCCAAGGGAGCCGAGAUCUGCGCCUUCUCUUCACCUGAUGAG